rnacentral:rRNA from 1 species
GAUGAACGCUGGCGGCGUGCCUAAUACAUGCAAGUCGAGCGAACGGACGAGCAGCUUGCUUCUCUGAUGUUAGCGGCGGACGGGUGAGUAACACGUGGAUAACCUACCUAUAAGACUGGGAUAACUUCGUGAAACCGGAGCUAAUACCGGAUAAUAUUUUGAACCGCAUGGUUCAAAAGUGAAAGACGGUCUUGCUGUCACUUAUAGAUGUAUCCGCGUUGCAUUAGCUAGUUGGUAAGGUAACGGCUUACCAAGGCAACGAUGCAUAGCCGACCUGAGAGGGUGAUCGGCCACACUGGAACGGAGACACGGUCCAGACUCCUACGGGAGGCAGCAGUAGGGAAUCUUCCGCAAUGGGCGAAAGCCUGACGGAGCAACGCCGCGUGAGUGAUGAAGGUCUUCGGAUCGUAAAACUCCGUUAUUAGGGAAGAACAUAUGUGUAAGUAACUGUGCACAUCUUGACGGUACCUAAUCAGAAAGCCACGGCUAACUACGUG